UACGUAGGGUGCAAGCGUUGUCCGGAAUUAUUGGGCGUAAAGAGCUCGUAGGCGGUCUGUCACGUCGGACGUGAAAAUCCAGGGCUCAACCCUGGACCUGCGUUCGAUACGGGCAGACUAGAGUUCGGUAGGGGAGACUGGAAUUCCUGGUGUAGCGGUGAAAUGCGCAGAUAUCAGGAAGAACACCGGUGGCGAAGGCGGCUCUCUGGGCCUUACCUGACGCUGAGGGGCGAAAGCGUGGGGAGCGAACGGG
rnacentral:rRNA from 1 species